GCCGGCAGCCAGAUCACCCUGUAGCCCAAGUCUGGUUACCCACUGAAGCUAAGCAGGGCUGAGCCUGGUCAGUACCUGGAUGGGAGACCUCCUGGGAAAACUAGGUUGCUGCUGGAA
rnacentral:rRNA from 1 species